rnacentral:misc_RNA from 1 species
AUGAGACGUGUUCGUUGCUGGCGACCUUGAUGGUCGCCGUGCGGGCAUCGACGUCGACUGUGGAGUCGUCGUCGCUGCAGUGGAGAUCGGUCAGCUCCCAGCCGGCUUUGGCGGCCUCGGUGACGGUGUAGGUGCCGGGCACGACGACGUCGAAGUCCUUGGUAUCGCCCAGCGCGUCGCCAUUGUCGCCGUCGUCCUCGAGGCUGAAGUCGGACAGGCUGUUCCCGCCCGUCGUGGUGUAGUCGAAGUUCGUCCCGCUCUCCGGAUGGGCUUCCUUGAUGAUGGUGACCGAGCCGCAGUUGUUGAGGUCGAUCGGGAAGGUCCGGGCCGUGUCCUUCAGCUGCGAGCUGGCCGGGUCGCCGCCGGUGCGGCUGCGCAUGUGGCCGCUGGAGAAGCCGGGGCAGGCCGUCUCGAUGCCGAGCUUGGAGAGGUCGAUGGACGCCUCCGCGAAGUCGAACGACGGGAUGGUGUAGCCGAAGCCCGAAUUGGUGAGGUCGACGAAGUUGGUCGCGCUGCGGACGGCGCCAAGCGUCGUCGCGUCGCCGACCUUGACGAAGUCGACGGUCUGUCCGCUCGGGAAGUUCAGGACGUUGGCCAUCGCGUAGAUGGUCACGAUCGGAUUGCUGCCGCCGUUCGAAUACUCGAGCGAGAUCAGCAGGUCGCCGGCGGUCCGGUCGGGCUUGGGCGGCCCGCCAGCCGGGUAGACCUUGAACGGCUUCUUGUUCAAUUCGAAGUCGACGACCAUGGUGCCGUUAUUGACCAUGCGCUCGGCGCCCAUGUAGGCGAACGCGCUGUUCCCGACCACCUUGGCGUGGGCCAUGAUGUGCUUGAAGUCGGUCUUAGGGUUCGGCCCGGCGGCGUUGACGUAGUCCCAGUCGCGGGUGUCGUCUUCCUUGUUGCCGCCGGCGUAGGCGCUGAUGUCACCGGGAUCGGUCGCGUCCUCGAACAGGAAGGUGGUCGGGGUGCUGGUGCCUCCCGCGCUGGCCACGCCAUUGGGGUCGAGCCAGUCCUGGCCGUCGUCCAUCGGCGGGUUGUUGAUCAGCGUCGCGGGCGUGAUGCCGCCAGGGUUGGUGCUCGCGUUGUUCCCGCGCAGGUCGCCGUCGAUCUCGAAGCCCGACACGGUGUCGGCCAGGAGUCCGCUUGCCGCAAGCGCGGGUGUCGGUGCCGCCAGGACAACCGACUGGAGGAGCAGGGAGAACACAAAAAGAGCGAUCCACAACAAGGUCAAUCCCUUGCGUGUCCGCCCUGCGAGCGCGAACGAUGAUCCCCGGUUCAUCUACGUGAUUCCCCUCUGGUCAGUACGACCAUUCGAUUCGUCGAUAGGUUCGACAGCCCUCUUGUUGGUUGCGAUGCCGAUCGGCAUCGAUGAUCACAGGACCGGCAGAAGUACCGGUCAUCCCAUAGGACCAACGACGGGAUCGUACGGUCCCAAGGGCCGCCGAUGAUACUGGUCGUGUCCAUACCUGGAUAGCC